UUGCCCUAGUAACGGCGAGUGAAGCGGCAACAGCUCAAAUUUGAAAUCUGGCCUCGGCCCGAGUUGUAAUUUGCAGAGGAAGCUUUAGGCGCGGCACCUUCUGAGUCCCCUGGAACGGGGCGCCAUAGAGGGUGAGAGCCCCGUAUAGUUGGAUGCCUAGCCUGUGUAAAGCUCCUUCGACGAGUCGAGUAGUUUGGGAAUGCUGCUCAAAAUGGGAGGUAAAUUUCUUCUAAAGCUAAAUACCGGCCAGAGACCGAUAGCGCACAAGUAGAGUGAUCGAAAGAUGAAAAGCACUUUGAAAAGAGGGUUAAAUAGCACGUGAAAUUGUUGAAAGGGAAGCGCUUGUGACCAGACUUGCGCCGGGCGGAUCAUCCGGUGUUCUCACCGGUGCACUCCGCCCGGCUCAGGCCAGCAUCGGUUCUCGCGGGGGGAUAAAGGCCCUGGGAACGUAGCUCCUCCGGGAGUGUUAUAGCCCAGGGUGCAAUGCCCUCGCGGGGACCGAGGUUCGCGCAUCUGCAAGGAUGCUGGCGUAAUGGUCAUCAGCGACCCGUCUUGAAACACGGACCAAGGAGUCAAGGUUUUGCGCGAGUGUUUGGGUGUCAAACCCGCACGCGUAAUGAAAGUGAACGUAGGUGAGAGCUUCGGCGCAUCAUCGACCGAUCCUGAUGUUUUCGGAUGGAUUUGAGUAGGAGCGUUAAGCCUUGGACCCGAAAGAUGGUGAACUAUGCUUGGAUAGGGUGAAGCCAGAGGAAACUCUGGUGGAGGCUCGCAGCGGUUCUGACGUGCAAAUCGAUCGUCAAAUCUGAGCAU
rnacentral:rRNA from 2 species